rnacentral:sRNA from 1 species
AUGCGAAAUUUGUCAACAGAGGAACCCGUAGCCUAAUGGAAUAGCAAAUGACUAUCAGAGUAUGAAAAAUUUUGCUGUUACCAUCAUACCAUGGAAUCUUAUAUAGUACCUUACAAUACUAACCUGUUGUGGUUCUGUCCUUACAAGUCGUUUUUGGUCAUUGCUAAUAGUUAAGUCUUAUGUUAGUUUCUGUAGUUCUGUCAUAUUUCUGCUCUUAUCUUUAUCAGUCCUUUUCUUACCUGUGGCCAUCUCCCCUUAUCUCUGAAGUUGGGGCACUUGAUCCUUUUGUUUAUAUCUCUAUAUGUUAAGGAUCUGAAGCCCAACACUACAAUGCAGUAUGUGUUUGUUGUUUGAAAGACAGUUGGAUUGACAUGAC